UACGGGGGGGGCAAGCGUUGUUCGGAAUUACUGGGCGUAAAGGGCUCGUAGGCGGCCAACUAAGUCAGACGUGAAAUCCCUCGGCUUAACCGGGGAACUGCAUCUGAUACUGGAUGGCUUGAGUUCGGGAGAGGGAUGCGGAAUUCCAGGUGUAGCGGUGAAAUGCGUAGAUAUCUGGAGGAACACCGGUGGCGAAGGCGGCAUCCUGGACCGGCAUUGACGCUGAGGAGCGAAAGCUAGGGGAGCAAACAGG
rnacentral:rRNA from 1 species